UGUGCCCAUGCUGGAGGAAGUGUGUCACUGGGGAUGGGCUUUGAGAUCUCAUAAGUCUUGCUGGAUUUCCUGUUGUUCUCUGCAUCAUGUGCCUGC
rnacentral:miRNA from 1 species